GGUUGUAUGGCCGAGUGGUCCAAGGCGCCGGAUUCAAGUCCCGGUCUCGAAAGAGGCACGAGUUCGAACCUCGUUGCAACCA